AUGGCUACACCACAUUGAGAUACUAGUUCCCAUAUGAUCACUGAAUUUAAGCAACGUCAAGCCUGAUCAGUGCCUAGAUGGGUGGCCACUUGGGAAUACCAAGUGCUGUAAG